CCUACAUCCACCUCUAACCCUGGUUCCAUCUCCAUCAUUCUUCCUCCAUCACUCUCUCCUUCUGUUCUCUCUGUGUUGUCAUGUGUUGGAUCAGUCUGUGUUGUGGUUCUACUGGUGUUACUGGUUCUGCUGGUGAGACGAUGUGUUCACAGGAAACCUGAAGAUCAAGAAGAAACUGGAGAAGAUGACAUCAUCACUCAUGUCAUGUACAACAUCCAAACAUCCAAUCAUCAACAACAACCAGUCACACAAAGAGGAGAUAGGCGGAGGUGUGAGACGUAAAAACAGGAACCACCUCUAAAGUCUGCUGCCUGUCUGCAUCGCAAGAGUCAGCAAGAUUUUCUAAAGACACUACGUCCUUCCUCACAAGACACCAUCCCGAAACCAUUUUUUUGUUUCUUUUUUUAACUUUAUCUGUCUUCUGUUUUUAUGAUGACAAUAACUCGUGUCUCGGACAGAAAACGACCCUGCUUACACUUACUGCUGUGAUCGUGCAGCGUUGGUUAUGGCACGCGCAUUUAUUUUUUCCUCAUACUUUGUGUUGAUUAUAAUAUAAAUUUACAUUGCAUUUUGGAUUUUGCUGUAUUGUGUUAUAAGUUUUACAUAUUUAACUACUUCAUACACGGCAUCUUUUAGGAGGUAAUUUUAGUGGUAACAGAGGGACUGUUUUAUGGAGUGUAACGUAUCCUGUGUGCCAUGUGUGUCGAGGAGACGACAGAGUAAAAGGUUGAGUGCACACCG